UGGGGAAUUUUGGACAAUGGGCGAAAGCCUGAUCCAGCAAUGCCGCGUGUGUGAAGAAGGCCUUCGGGUUGUAAAGCACUUUUGUCCGGAAAGAAAUCCUUGGCUCUAAUACAGUCGGGGGAUGACGGUACCGGAAGAAUAAGCACCGGCUAACUACGUGCCAGCAGCCGCGGUAAUACGUAGGGUGCAAGCGUUAAUCGGAAUUACUGGGCGUAAAGCGUGCGCAGGCGGUUUGCUAAGACCGAUGUGAAAUCCCCGGGCUCAACCUGGGAACUGCAUUGGUGACUGGCAGGCUAGAGUAUGGCAGAGGGGGGUAGAAUUCCACGUGUAGCAGUGAAAUGCGUAGAGAUGUGGAGGAAUACCGAUGGCGAAGGCAGCCCCCUGGGCCAAUACUGACGCUCAUGCACGAAAGCGUGGGGAGCAAACAGGAUUAGAUACCCUGGUAGUCCACGCCCUAAACGAUGUCAACUAGUUGUUGGGGAUUCAUUUCCUUAGUAACGUAGCUAACGCGUGAAGUUGACCGCCUGGGGAGUACGGUCGCAAGAUUAAAACUCAAAUG
rnacentral:rRNA from 1 species